rfam:Agrilus planipennis Contig69391, whole genome shotgun sequence.
AUAAAACAAGGUAAACGUGCCGGUCGUUGUCCUCGUCACCUCGGCUGAAGAGGACCUUAAUUGGUCCUAGAACGGCCUGAGGUAGAGGGGUUUUAGUCGGUAGGUCCGAGGACUUCUUCCUCGGGAAUUCGACACUACCCAGUCGUACGGACGGCUGGGUGUCUUUUGAAGACUUCCCCUCUUCCACGAAA